AUGAAGGUUGUAUCUCUAAUCCUCUCCGUUCUUCUCCUCAUCAAUUCAACACAAUCCUUCUUAUUAAACUUCCAACAGUGCCGUACUGCAGGAAAUCCAUGUUCUCUACCGCUUGCUACAACAACGUUUUCUGGGCAAUGCUGUCAAAAUUUGAACUUAGCAUGUACAGAUCCAAUACCACGAACUAUAACAAGGAGCUACAAUCAAUGGCUGAAUUUAAACAGAACAUGCCAGUAAUACAGAUGAAGAUGAAAGAUAUUGCUGAUGGAUAAUAUUUGAACAAUAAAAUAAUGUAAACUAGAAUAAUAAAAAUGUUCUAUUUUUUAA